AGCCUGUGAUGACAGAGAAGCUGCCCCAGGUUGUGGAGGCUGUGCAGUGUCUGAGCAGUGACCCCAGGACACAGGUGAGGAGGGCCAUUCUGCUUUUCAUCAAGGAUGUGCUCAGUGUUAAUGCCUGGAGCUGCUCAGCCUGGGAUGUGGUGGGGCACAUCUUCAGUGAGUUCAGCCGCACCACGGGAAGAAGGGUAAGGACAGUGGGCAGCAUCUUCCUUUGGAAGACCCGUGCUGCUCAGAGGCUGGCACAGAAACACCAGUGGGGCCACACCUGAGCUUAUGAGAGGCUCCUGAGAACUGAGAGUAAGCAGUGUUCUCCCAGAUCUCCAAGAGCUGUGUAUGGACAUCCUGGGGUCACUGGAUGUCUCUGUGAGAGGGAUCACCAAACUCCUGUGGCCGCAGCUGCUGCUGUAUGUGGUGCCAGCCCAGUACACCGGCAUGCUGAUCCCAGUCUCCCGCUGUGUCCAAGCCCUGGCUGAGAGAGGGGACCUGACAGUGCGGGACAUAGAAGAACUGGAUCCCCAUUUCCUCAACUCCAUGUUUCAAGGCCCACUGCUGACUCCCCAGACACUGCUGGCACGCCUGUUGGUGGUGGCAGGGAGCCCUUUUGCAGGCAGUGAACUCCAAGCUGCUGCCUUGCUGCUCAUGCGAAACCUCCACAGCAGGAUCCACAGAGCUGUGGGGGCCACGUGGGCUGCUGAGAUCCCCCUGCUGCUGCAGUGCCUUGAAGGUAAAGUGCUGGUGGGGAGGGAGAGGAGGAGGCAGGGAAGGUUUCACCCUUCCCUCCGAUUUCACCCUAGGGGGGUGGGAGGCUUCCUGGUCUUCAUCAGUACUGGAGUGCUGCCCCACCAGUGCAAGUUCAGCUACAACCCCAUGCACAUGCUGGUGGCAGAUGAUGGCCACUGCUGA
rnacentral:lncRNA from 1 species